rnacentral:rRNA from 1 species
CCUACGGGAGGCAGCAGUGGGGAAUAUUGCACAAUGGGGGGAACCCUGAUGCAGCGAAGCCGCGUGAGUGAAGACGUAUUUCGGUAUGUUAAGCUCUAUCAGCAUGGAAGUAAAUGACGGUACCUGACUAAGAAGCCCCGGCGAACUACGUGCCAGCAGCCGCGUUAAUACGUAGGGAGCCAGCGUUAUCCGGAUUUACUGUAUGUAAAGGGAGCGCAGACGGGUGUGCAAGUCUGGAGUGAAAGGCGGGGGCCGAACACCAGGACUGCUGUGGAUACUGUAACGCUGGAGUGCAGGAGAGGUAAGCGGAAGUCGUAGUGUAGCGGUGAAAUGCGUAGAUAUUAGGAGGAACACCAGUGGAGAAGGCGGCUUACUGGACUGCAACUGACGUUGAGGCGCGAAAGCGUGGGGAGCAAACAGGAUUAGAGAACCGAGUAGUC